CCUGGUAGCUGCCCCAACUCACAGGACGGCCCUGGACUCAUCUGCCCACUGGUGCAGGGAGGACUAAGACCCAGGAAGAUGAGGUGACUAGUCCUCUUGCCAAUAACUGGGGGAGCUGGGACCUGAAGCCAGCAGACGGACUCAGGACUACAUGCUCACGGCAGAUUUGGAAACUAAGGAUCAUAGAAGCUAAGACAUCUGUCCAAGGUCACAAAGUGGAACGUUACACAGAAUUUUCAAAUUCAGGUCCGACCUCGAAUUCAGAGUUCUGUCUGCCUUUUGGGGCUGCUGCAACAAUGGGGUCCUGAGCUGCUGAGCAGAACUUGGAGGGGACAGGCGGCCUAUUGGCAUCCCCACAUUGGGGGGAAGAAGGCUUGGCCAGCCAGGGCUUGAAAAUACAAGUAACUCGAACACCCAAAGCACUCCUCUGUACCUGGAGAACCUGGGGUGGCCUUCCCCCUUCUGUCCACAUACUCUGCUGAUGUGGCACCUGAGUCAGUUCUUAAUCCCUUGUGGGGUCCUUGGUGUUAAAAUUUCAGUUUGAUUUCACUUACUCCUGUUUGGGUGGGAUAAGGGAGGCCAGCCAAUAGGAGAGGCUCACUGUGUUGUCCCAAACCCACAGAGUGACUCUGGGCUCCGUUUUACAUCGUCUCCCACAGGGGAAAUCUCAGGGCGAGUAAAAAUAGAGAGCAACCUAUGGCAUCUUUGGUUGCUGUGUCCCCAUGGUAGGUUAUUGAUCAGGACUGAUUUUAGCCUAAUAGAAACUUAUCGUUGGAGGAGGUAGAGAAAUCUUGUCCUUGGUCUUGUUUUCUCCAAACCCCAACUCACCUCUUACUGCCUUCUCACACUUAAUCAUUACUUGUCAAAAGGUCUUGUGGUCCUUAGCACUUGACGCACAAUUCCAUCACUCUUAGGGUCAUGAGACGGGGGUCAAGACCUUUUCUCCUGUCAUAGCUACUAGUCCAUCAAGUAAAAAUGGCAAACAUGCUGGCUUUAAGUAAAAUAUUAAAUCUAGUUAUGUAAGGAAAAGAUAGGGGCACCUGGGUGGCUCAGUCAGUUAAGUGUCUGCCUUCAGCUCAGGUCAUGAUGGGGGGGU